rnacentral:rRNA from 1 species
GGGUUGUGAGGUUAAGCGACUAAGCGUACACGGUGGAUGCCUAGGCAAUCAGAGGCGAUGAAGGACGUGCUAAUCUGCGAUAAGCGUCGGUAAGGUGAUAUGAACCGUUACAACCGACGAUUUCCGAAUGGGGAAACCCAGUGCAAUUCGUUGCACUAUCGUUUGAUGAAUACAUAGUCAAACGAAGCGAACCGGGGGAACUGAAACAUCUCAGUACCCCGAGGAAAAGAAAUCAACCGAGAUUCCCCUAGUAGCGGCGAGCGAACGGGGAGCAGCCCAGAGUCUUAAUCAGCAUUAGCAUCAGGAGAACGGUCUGGAAAGUCCGGCAGUAAAGGGUGAUAGCCCCGUAUCCGAAGGUGUUAGUGUUGUGAACUCGACGAGUAGGGCGGGACACGUGUUAUCCUGUCUGAAUAUGGGGGGACCAUCCUCCAAGGCUAAAUACUCCUGAUUGACCGAUAGUGAACCAGUACCGUGAGGGAAAGGCGAAAAGAACCCCGGCGAGGGGAGUGAAAUAGAACCUGAAACCGUGUACGUACAAGCAGUGGGAGCCUUGAUUUAUCAGGGUGACUGCGUACCUUUUGUAUAAUGGGUCAGCGACUUAUAUUCUGUAGCAAGGUUAACCGUAUAGGGGAGCCGUAGGGAAACCGAGUCUUAACUGGGCGAAUGAGUUGCAGGGUAUAGACCCGAAACCCGGUGAUCUAGCCAUGGGCAGGUUGAAGGUUGGGUAACACUAACUGGAGGACCGAACCGACUAAUGUUGAAAAAUUAGCGGAUGACUUGUGGCUGGGGGUGAAAGGCCAAUCAAACCGGGAGAUAGCUGGUUCUCCCCGAAAGCUAUUUAGGUAGCGCCUCGUGAACUCAUCUUCGGGGGUAGAGCACUGUUUCGACUAGGGGGUCAUCCCGACUUACCAACUCGAUGCAAACUACGAAUACCGAAGAAUGUUAUCACGGGAGACACACGGCGGGUGCUAACGUUCGUCGUGAAGAGGGAAACAACCCAGACCGCCAGCUAAGGUCCCAAAGUCAUAGUUAAGUGGGAAACGAAGUGGGAAGGCUCAGACAGCCAGGAUGUUGGCUUAGAAGCAGCCAUCAUUUAAAGAAAGCGUAAUAGCUCACUGGUCGAGUCGGCCUGCGCGGAAGAUGUAACGGGGCUAAACUAUGCACCGAAGCUGCGGCAGCGAUAUGUAAAUAUUGUUGGGUAGGGGAGCGUUCUGUAAGCCUGUGAAGGUGUGCUGUGAGGCAUGCUGGAGGUAUCAGAAGUGCGAAUGCUGACAUAAGUAACGAUAAUGCGGGUGAAAAACCCGCACGCCGGAAGACCAAGGGUUCCUGUCCAACGUUAAUCGGGGCAGGGUGAGUCGACCCCUAAGGCGAGGCAGAAAUGCGUAGUCGAUGGGAAACGGGUUAAUAUUCCCGUACUGGUGAUAAUUGCGAUGGGGGGACGGAGAAGGCUAGGCUAUCCGGGCGACGGUUGUCCCGGUUUAAGGAUGUAGGCAGGUGAAUUAGGCAAAUCCGGUUCACUAUAUGCUGAGGUCCGAUGACGAGUCACUACGGUGAUGAAGUAGCUCAUGCCCCGCUUCCAGGAAAAGCCUCUAAGCUCUAGAUUAUCAUUAAUCGUACCCCAAACCGACACAGGUGGUCAGGUAGAGAAUACUCAGGCGCUUGAGAGAACUCGGGUGAAGGAACUAGGCAAAAUGGUGCCGUAACUUCGGGAGAAGGCACGCUGGCAUUAGGUGAAGUGAUUUACUCAUGGAGCUGAAGCCAGUCGCAGAUACCAGCUGGCUGCAACUGUUUAUUAAAAACACAGCACUGUGCAAACACGAAAGUGGACGUAUACGGUGUGACGCCUGCCCGGUGCUGGAAGGUUAAUUGAUGGGGUUAUCCGUAAGGAGAAGCUCUUGAUCGAAGCCCCAGUAAACGGCGGCCGUAACUAUAACGGUCCUAAGGUAGCGAAAUUCCUUGUCGGGUAAGUUCCGACCUGCACGAAUGGCGUAAUGAUGGCCAGGCUGUCUCCACCCGAGACUCAGUGAAAUUGAACUCGCUGUGAAGAUGCAGUGUACCCGCGGCAAGACGGAAAGACCCCGUGAACCUUUACUAUAGCUUGACACUGAACAUUGAGCCUUGAUGUGUAGGAUAGGUGGGAGGCUUCGAAGCGUGGACGCCAGUCUGCGUGGAGCCAACCUUGAAAUACCACCCUUUAAUGUUUGAUGUUCUAACGUUGCCCCAUUAUCUGGGGUGCGGACAGUGUCUGGUGGGUAGUUUGACUGGGGCGGUCUCCUCCCAAAGAGUAACGGAGGAGCACGAAGGUUGGCUAAGCAUGGUCGGACAUCAUGCGGUUAGUGCAAAGGCAUAAGCCAGCUUGACUGCGAGAGUGACGGCUCGAGCAGGUACGAAAGUAGGUCUUAGUGAUCCGGUGGUUCUGAAUGGAAGGGCCAUCGCUCAACGGAUAAAAGGUACUCCGGGGAUAACAGGCUGAUACCGCCCAAGAGUUCAUAUCGACGGCGGUGUUUGGCACCUCGAUGUCGGCUCAUCACAUCCUGGGGCUGAAGUAGGUCCCAAGGGUACGGCUGUUCGCCGUUUAAAGUGGUACGCGAGCUGGGUUUAGAACGUCGUGAGACAGUUCGGUCCCUAUCUGCCGUGGGCGUUGGAAGAUUGAAAGGGGCUGCUCCUAGUACGAGAGGACCGGAGUGGACGCACCACUGGUGUUCGGGUUGUCAUGCCAAUGGCAUUGCCCGGUAGCUAAGUGCGGAAGAGAUAACCGCUGAAAGCAUCUAAGCGGGAAACUUGCCUUGAGAUGAGUCUUCCCUGACUCUUUAAGAGUCCUAAAGGAACGUUUAAGACUAAGACGUUGAUAGGUUGGGUGUGUAAGCGUAGCGAUACGUUGAGCUAACCAAUACUAAUGAACCGUGAGGCUUAACCUGACAACACCGAAGGUGUUUUAG